GAUCAAGCGCGAAAAGGGCGUUCGGUGGAUGCCUUGGCGACAAGAGGCGAUGAAGGACGUGGCACUCUGCGAUAAGCCGUGGGGAGGGGAGAGCACCCUUUGAUCCGCGGAUUUCCGAAUGGGGAAACCCACCUGAUAUCCGGCUGUUACCUGCCUUUGGCAGAUGACAGUCGGGUAAGACAGGUACUCUUGGCCUGAACACAUAGGGCUUAGAGAGCGAACCCGGGGAACUGAAACAUCUCAGUACCUGGAGGAAAGGACAUCAAUUGAGACUCCGCUAGUAGUGGCGAGCGAACGCGGACCAGGCCGAGCUGUGAAACAAGACGAACCGGUUGGAAAGCCGGGCCAGAGCGGGUGACAGCCCCGUAGUUGUAGCAUGAUCAGCCGUUAGAGUAGGGCGGGACACGUGAAAUCCUGUUCGAAAAUGGGGGGACCACCCUCCAAGCCUAAGUACUCCUUGUCGACCGAUAGCGAACUAGUACCGUGAGGGAAAGGUGAAAAGCACCCCGACGAGGGGAGUGAAACAGACCCUGAAACCGGACGCCUACAAACAGUGGGAGCGCAAGUGACCACGUACCUUUUGUAUAAUGGGUCAGCGACUUGGUCUAUCGAGCGAGCUUAAGCCGAGAGGUGUAGGCGCAGCGAAAGCGAGUCUGAAUAGGGCGCUUGAGUUCGAUGGAUCAGACCCGAAACCGAGUGAUCUAGCCAUGGCCAGGCUGAAGGUGCGGUAACACGCACUGGAGGGCCGAACCCACACCUGUUGAAAAAGGUCGGGAUGAGCUGUGGCUAGGGGUGAAAGGCCAAUCAAACUCGGAGAUAGCUGGUUCUCCGCGAAAUCUAUUUAGGUAGAGCGUCGCACGUAUCCCCCGGGGGGUAGAGCACUGGAUGGGUAAUGGGGCCCCACAGGCUUACUGAUCCUAACCAAACUCCGAAUACCCGGGAGGACUAUGCGGCAGACACACGUCGGGUGCUAAGGUCCGGCGUGGAGAGGGAAACAGCCCUGACCAACAGCUAAGGCCCCUAAUUCGUGGCUAAGUGGGAAAGCAUGUGAGACGGCCAAAACAACCAGGAUGUUGGCUUAGAAGCAGCCAUCAUUUAAAGAAAGCGUAACAGCUCACUGGUCUAAUCAAGCUGUCUUGCGGCGAAGAUGUAACGGGGCUCAAGCCACGAGCCGAAGCUUUGGGUGCACUCUUCGGAGUGCGCGGUAGCGGAGCGUUCCCUGGGCGGUGAAGGUAUCCUGUGAGGGGUGCUGGAGCGCAGGGAAGUGAGAAUGCUGACGUGAGUAGCGACAAAGGGGGUGAGAGACCCCCUCGCCGAAAGUCCAAGGGUUCCUGCCCAAGGCUCAUCCGGGCAGGGUAAGCCGGCCCCUAAGGCGAGGCCGAAAGGCGUAGUCGAUGGGAACCAGGUUAAUAUUCCUGGGCCAGGAGGAUGUGACGGAUCGCAAGGGUAGUUCGACCUUAUCGGAUUGGUCGGGCUGCUGAGCGGUUCCUGGAAAUAGCCCUCCAUAUGACCGUACCCGAAACCGACACAGGUGGACUGGUAGAGCAUACCAAGGCGCUUGAGAGAACUGCGUUGAAGGAACUCGGCAAAAUGCCUCCGUAAGUUCGCGAGAAGGAGGCCCCGUCAUUGCGCAAGCAGUGGCGGGGGGCACAGACCAGGGGGUGGCGACUGUUUACUAAAAACACAGGGCUCUGCGAAGCCGCAAGGCGACGUAUAGGGUCUGACGCCUGCCCGGUGCCGGAAGGUUAAAAGGAGGUGUGCAAGCACCGAAUUGAAGCCCCGGUAAACGGCGGCCGUAACUAUAACGGUCCUAAGGUAGCGAAAUUCCUUGUCGGGUAAGUUCCGACCUGCACGAAUGGCGUAACGACUUCCCCGCUGUCUCCAACGCAGACUCAGCGAAAUCGAAUUCCCCGUGAAGAUGCGGGGUUCCCGCGGUCAGACGGAAAGACCCCGUGCACCUUUACUACAGCUUCAGACUGGCAUCAGGCACGUCAUGUGCAGGAUAGGCGGUAGGCUUUGAAGCGGGAGCGCCAGCUUCCGUGGAGCCGCCCUUGAGAUACCGCCCUUGAUUUGCUUGAUGUCUAACCGCGGUCCGUCAUCCGGAUCCGGGACCCUCUGUGGCGGGUAGUUUGACUGGGGCGGUCGCCUCCCAAAGCAUAACGGAGGCGCGCGAUGGUGGGCUCAGAGCGGUCGGAAAUCGCUCGUCGAGUGCAAUGGCAUAAGCCCGCCUGACUGCGAGACUGACAAGUCGAGCAGAGACGAAAGUCGGCCAUAGUGAUCCGGUGGUCCCGAGUGGAAGGGCCAUCGCUCAACGGAUAAAAGGUACGCCGGGGAUAACAGGCUGAUGAUGCCCAAGAGUCCAUAUCGACGGCAUCGUUUGGCACCUCGAUGUCGGCUCAUCACAUCCUGGGGCUGGAGCAGGUCCCAAGGGUUCGGCUGUUCGCCGAUUAAAGUGGUACGUGAGCUGGGUUUAGAACGUCGUGAGACAGUUCGGUCCCUAUCUGCCGUGGGUGCUGGAGACUUGAGAGGAGCUGCCCCUAGUACGAGAGGACCGGGGUGGACGGACCACUGGUGGACCUGUUGUGGCGCCAGCCGCAGUGCAGGGUAGCUAUGUCCGGACGGGAUAACCGCUGAAGGCAUCUAAGCGGGAAGCCUCCCUCAAAACAAGGUCUCCCCGAGAGCCGUGCAAGACCAGCACGUCGAUAGGCCGGAGAUGCAAGUGCAGCAAUGCAUUCAGUUGACCGGUACUAAUCGCUCGAUCGGCUUGAUCCG
rnacentral:rRNA from 1 species